UACGUAGGGUGCGAGCGUUGUCCGGAUUUAUUGGGCGUAAAGAGCGUGUAGGCGGCCAAGCAGGUCAGCUGUGAAAACUCGAGGCUCAACCUCGAGACGUCGGUUGAAACCGCUUGGCUAGAGUCCGGAAGAGGAGAGUGGAAUUCCCGGUGUAGCGGUGAAAUGCGCAGAUAUCGGGAAGAACACCUAUGGCGAAGGCAGCUCUCUGGGACGGUACUGACGCUGAGACGCGAAAGCGUGGGGAGCGAACAGG
rnacentral:rRNA from 1 species